UAAGUAAGCGGAGGAGAAGAAACUAAAUAGGAUUCCUUCAGUAAUGGCGAAUGAACAGGGAUCGGCUCAGCAUGGAAAUUGGGGCCCCUGGCCCUGAAUUGUAGUCUCAAGAUGUACUGCCAACGGAGGCGCAGAUGUAAGCCUCUUGGAAAAGAGCAUCAGCGAGGGUGACAAUCCCGCUUGCCAUCUGCAGCCCCCCGUGCACGGUGUACCUUCUAAGAGUCACGUUCCUCGGGAUUGGAGCGCAAAGUGGGUGGUAAAUUUCAUCUACAGCUAAAUACUGGUUCGAGACCGAUAGCAAACAAGUACCAUGAGGGAAAGGUGAAAAGGACUUUGAAAAAGAGAGUUAGAAGUGCCUGAACUUGCUGAAAGGGAAGCGAAUGGAACCAGUGUUGCUUGGCAAGAUUGCUGUGCACCACUGUGAGGGUCUGCUAUGCUAGCGCAAGUGGUGUGGUAGACUUUGAGCAGGACCUGCACGGUGUUUCUUGCCUUGUGUGUCAGCGUCAGUUCGCGCUUGGGGAAGACGUCAAGGACAUGGUAGCCUGCCCACGGGCAUGUGAACGUGCUUGCUCGAACCUCAUGCGGGAACUGCACGGUGACGAAAUAGUUCCUUUUCGACCCG
rnacentral:rRNA from 1 species